rnacentral:rRNA from 1 species
AUACGUAGGCAGCAAGCGUUGUUCGGAGUUACUGGGCGUAAAGCGUGCGUAGGCGGUUCCGUCAGUUCGGUGUGAAAUCUCCCGGCUCAACUGGGAGGGUGCGCCGAAUACUGCGAGGCUUGAGCGCGGGAGAGGAAAGCGGAAUUCCUGGUGUAGCGGUGAAAUGCGUAGAUAUCAGGAGGAACACCGGUGGUGAAGACGGCUUUCUGGACCGCUGCUGACGCUGAGGCACGAAAGCGUGGGGAGCAAACAGGAUUAGAAACCCUAGUAGUCC